rnacentral:rRNA from 1 species
AUAUCGACGAGUUUGAUCAUGGCUCAGAACGAACGCUGGCGGCAGGCCUAACACAUGCAAGUCGAGCGAUCCUUUCGGGGAUAGCGGCGGACGGGUGAGUAACGCGUGGGAACGUACCCUUUGCUACGGAAUAGCCCCGGGAAACUGGGAGUAAUACCGUAUGUGCCCUCUGGGGAAAGACUUAUCGGCAAAGGAUCGGCCCGCGUUGGAUUAGGUAGUUGGUGGGGUAAUGGCCUACCAAGCCGACGAUCCAUAGCUGGUUUGAGAGGAUGAUCAGCCACACUGGGACUGAGACACGGCCCAGACUCCUACGGGAGGCAGCAGUGGGGAAUCUUAGACAAUGGGGGCAACCCUGAUCUAGCCAUGCCGCGUGAGUGAUGAAGGCCCUAGGGUUGUAAAGCUCUUUCAGCUGGGAAGAUAAUGACGGUACCAGCAGAAGAAGCCCCGGCUAACUCCGUG